rnacentral:rRNA from 1 species
CGUGUAGGCGGCUUGGUAAGUCAGAUGUGAAAGCCCAGGGCUCAACCCUGGAAGUGCAUUUGAUACUGCUGAGCUUGAGUAUGGGAGAGGAGAGCGGAAUUCCCAGUGUAGAGGUGAAAUUCGUAGAUAUUGGGAGGAACACCCGUGGCGAAGGCGGCUCUCUGGACCAAUACUGACGCUGAGACGCGAAAGCGUGGGGAGCAAACAGGAUUAGAUACCCUGGUAGUCC